CCCUACGGGGCGCAGCAGUGGGGAAUAUUGCACAAUGGGGGGAACCCUGAUGCAGCGACGCCGCGUGAGUGAAGAAGUAUUUCGGUAUGUAAAGCUCUAUCAGCAGGGAAGAAAAUGACGGUACCUGACUAAGAAGCCCCGGCUAACUACGUGCCAGCAGCCGCGGUAAUACGUAGGGGGCAAGCGUUAUCCGGAUUUACUGGGUGUAAAGGGAGCGUAGGUGGCAGGGCAAGUCAGAUGUGAAAACCCGGGGCUCAACCCCGGGAGUGCAUUUGAAACUGUCCGGCUGGAGUGCAGGAGAGGUA
rnacentral:rRNA from 1 species